rnacentral:lncRNA from 1 species
UGUAAUUUACUAUGAUUUUUCAAAUAUUUAGCCAAAAUAAAUAAAAAAGAAAAAGACAAAACCUUUAUAGCAAAAACAUUAUAUUAAAGCAUAUCAUAUUAUAUGUUCGUUAUGUAGAUCUACUUAUGUGAAGUCCAACAAAAUUAGAUUUUCUAUUUUAUGAUGUUUUCUGUAAUUUACUAUGAUUUUUAAAGAUUCAGCCAAAAUAAAUAGAAAAGAAAAGGUCAAAACCUUUAUCACAAAAACUUUGUACUAAAGCAUACCACAUUAUAUCUUCAUUAUGUAGAUCUACUUAUGUGGAGUCUAACAAAAUUAGAUUUUCUAUUUUAUGAUUUACUAUGAUUUUUCAAAUAUUCAGCCCGAAUAAUUAAAAAAAGAAAAAGACAAAACCAAUGUUACUGUAGCAAACCCACUAUUCGCUAUAGCAAAACCAUCUUCAAAACCACUCCAGAGAGGUAAAAUAUACGAUUUGAAAAGUUGAGGCGGGUGGUUUGCCCGAUUUUCGAGCUGAGGAAGAAAAAAAUGGACUUUGAUAAAAGUUGGGGGAGGAAAAGUAGUCUUUUUCCUUUUUCUAACUAGCAACCAGUGGCAUAGCCACAGGGUAUGCCGGGUAUGCACCGGCAUACCCUGCAAAACAGGACAACAGUAGUGUAUUAGUGUAUAUAUAUACUACUUUAUUGUAUAUAUGUUGUUUUUGUUAAAAGAAAAAAAAGAAAAAACAUUCCUGGACACCAUCUUGUUUAGUUAUUUAGCAAUGUGUUUUUUAAUAUUUAUACAGUUACGAAGAGAAACUUGGAUAUUGCAUCUAAUUGUUUCCCUGAUCUAGUUGAACCUUCUAAUCGUUCAGCUGAUCAGGUUGAACUAGUAGUUGAAGUGUGGUUGAUCUGGUUGACGAAGAUAAUAUAUGUCUCAUGAGCCGUACUAUUUCAGUGAAUGAACAAUGCUUUUCUCUCACAAUUAAUCAAUGAAUAAUACUUUUAGUCAUAACUUUUCAGUAAAGCGAACAUAAUAAAGCAUUUAUGUCGAUUCAAAAUGUCAAAUAAAACAGUCUAAAAAUAGCAACGU